UAGGGAAUCUUCCACAAUGGACGCAAGUCUGAUGGAGCAACGCCGCGUGAGUGAAGAAGGUUUUCGGAUCGUAAAGCUCUGUUGUUGGUGAAGAAGGAUAGAGGCAGUAACUGGUCUUUAUUUGACGGUAAUCAACCAGAAAGUCACGGCUAACUACGUGCCAGCAGCCGCGGUAAUACGUAGGUGGCAAGCGUUGUCCGGAUUUAUUGGGCGUAAAGCGAGCGCAGGCGGAAUGAUAAGUCUGAUGUGAAAGCCCACGGCUCAACCGUGGAACUGCAUCGGAAACUGUCAUUCUUGAGUGCAGAAGAGGAGAGUGGAACUCCAUGUGUAGCGGUGGAAUGCGUAGAUAUAUGGAAGAACACCAGUGGCGAAGGCGGCUCUCUGGUCUGCAACUGACGCUGAGGCUCGAAAGCAUGGGUAGCGAACAGGAUUAGAUACCCUGGUAGUCCAUGCCGUAAACGAUGAGCGCUAGGUGUUGGGGACUUUCCGGUUCUCAGUGCCGCAGCAAACGCAUUAAGCGCUCCGCCUGGGGAGUACGACCGCAAGGUUGAAACG
rnacentral:rRNA from 1 species